GCAGGCUUAACUCAGUUGGUAGAGUGUCAGCUUCCCAAGCUGAAUGCCGCGGGUUCGAGCCCCGUAGCCUGCUCCA
rnacentral:tRNA from 1 species